AUUAGGAAUCUUGCGCAAUGGACGAAAGUCUGACGCAGCGACGCCGCGUGAGGGAUGACGGCAUUCGUGUUGUAAACCUCUUUUGCCGAGGAAGAAGAAUGUGACGGUACUCGGUGAAUAAGCCCCGGCUAACUACGUGCCAGCAGCCGCGGUAAUACGUAGGGGGCGAGCGUUGUCCGAAGUUACUGGGCGUAAAGCGCGCGUAGGCGGCUUCUUAAGUCUGGGGUGAAAGGUUCAACGCUCAACGUGAACAGUGCCUUGGAUACUGGGAAGCUUGAAUGUGGCGGAGGAUAGUGGAAUGGCUGGUGUAGCGGUGAAAUGCGUAGAUAUCAGUCGGAACACCCAUGGCGAAGGCAGCUAUCUGGGCUAACAUUGACGCUGAGGUGCGAAAGCGUGGGGAGCGAACGG
rnacentral:rRNA from 1 species